GGGUUUUGAGGUUGGACUUAAAAAGAGGGAAUGAGGUGAUGUUUCCGAGGUCUGCAGGAAUUCCAAAGUUGGGGGCAGAGCGGCUAAAAGCCCCCCAUAGAAACAAGACGAGAGGAAGGAAGAGAAAAAGAAAGAGAAGAGGAUGAUCGGGGGGCGCUGGAGUGGGAUGGUGAUCUGAACCAGAGAUGGUGGGGAGAGACAAUGAAUAGCUUUAAAUGUAUAAUUAACGUGAGAUUUGACCUGGAGCCAGUGAAGCUGCUUCAGAACAGGGUGGUGUGGUGGGUAGAGCUUUGCUUCUCAUCCAUAAACUCUCUCCAUCCUCUGUCAUGUGACUCUUGCGUAGGUGGCAGGAGAGGUUUGCCGUGUUUAGUGGGGGCCGGUUUUGCAGAGUACAGUUUUCUGGCCCGUGUCAGACUUUCUUGCUACAGAGCGAGCCCCUCGGUUAGGAAUAAUGUCCUGGAUUUGUUUUGGUCCUUCUGUUUGUCAUCAUUUCACUUUAUUUUACAAAAUCUCAACAGGAUCUUCAGCUUUAUUGUGAUUGUGGUUUAUUAUUUAUUAUUGUAGUUUAUGUGGAAAAUAAACAAGCGGACGGCAGAGCCACACGCUGGGGUUACCAUUGUUGUUGCUAACGACAACGCCUAAAAACAGUGGCGUGUCUGUCCACACUGUGGUUAUAUUAAAUAUAGGAGAAAGAAAGAACUGUAAAAAUGGAUGUAGCCACUCCAGUGACCAUCAAAACCAUGAAACAAACCGGAAACAGUUCACAUGGUGACACCAUGAAACAAACGAUCAUGUGUAAUAUGAAACAAAAGGCAUUUUCAUAUCAUCAUCAGAUAUAUAGCCUUAUAUCGAACUGCCCUAUCCACUGAAGGGCCAGGGUCCUGACACCAACAGUGACCAAUCACAUCAGGACCCUGGCCCUUCAGGCAAAGUGAUGUGCACAGGCUAAAAUGACCUUUGCUAGCAGAUUAACUGUACGAGCGUAGCACUGCUGCAGCGCGAGCAGAAGAGAGACCUCUGUGGGUUCUGGCUUCUCUGCACCUGGCUGCAGUGCUACACUGACUUUAUGCACGAGGAAUUUAAUUAUUUGUUGAAUUAUGUUUUUCUUGCAUGGCACUUAUGAUGUAAAGAUUAUUCCAUAUUUAACACUAAUUAAUGGAACAAGGAGCUCAGAGCUCAGCGCGUGAGGACAUGACCUGCCCGUGCAGGAACCAUGAAGACCUUCCUCUGAUGGAGGUUCAGUCAGCUUGAUGGGUCACAGACGAGGAGGAGGAGCUGGUGAUGAAGAGCAGCCUGUGUGUAUACAGUAUCUGUUGUGUAUUCAGCCCUGAGGAAGAUGAAGAUGCAGCUUUGCUUUGGCCUUCCUCUGCUAACAGCUAACAGCUAACUAACCUCAGUCAGAUGUUCUGCAGCUGUUUGUCUAACAUUAUAAUGAGUUUAUAAUGAUGAUGACCCCGAGCGUGUUUCUGCUGUGCUGAUGGAUCUCCACGGAGCGUCCUGUCACAUGUUAGCUUCAUGUGGGUCAAAGGUCAAAGCUGCUGACUGUCAGGAAGCAUCAAACAUCAUGAAAGACCCCCUCUGACCUCAGAGCUCCCUGAGGCCACACCCACACUUCCUGUCAGUGCCUGUGAUUGACAGCUGCCUCCGUCAGUAUCAUAUGUAUCCAUAUAAUCCCCCUGACGUCACUGAUGUUAGUGCUGUAUGAACCACAUUAAAUGUUUUUACUUAUUAA
ensembl:lncRNA